UGCCCGAUCGUCUAGCGGCAGGACACAUGACUCUGAAUCAUGUAACUGGGGUUCGAAUCCCUGUCGGGCAGCCA
rnacentral:tRNA from 1 species